rnacentral:rRNA from 1 species
GACGAACGCUGGCGGCGUGCUUAACACAUGCAAGUCGAACGAGGCCCCGCCUUCGGGUGGGUGUUCUAGUGGCGAACGGGUGAGUAACACGUGGGCAACCUGCCCCCGGCUCUGGGAUAACUCCAAGAAAUUGGGGCUAAUACCGGAUAUGACCGCUGACCGCAUGGUCUGGUGGUGGAAAGUUUUUCGGCUGGGGAUGGGCCCGCGGCCUAUCAGCUUGUUGGUGGGGUAGUGGCCUACCAAGGCGACGACGGGUAGCCGGCCUGAGAGGGUGACCGGCCACACUGGGACUGAGACACGGCCCAGACUCCUACGGGAGGCAGCAGUGGGGAAUAUUGCGCAAUGGGCGGAAGCCUGACGCAGCGACGCCGCGUGGGGGAUGACGGCCUUCGGGUUGUAAACCUCUUUCAGCAGGGACGAAGCGCAAGUGACGGUACCUGCAGAAGAAGCACCGGCCAACUACGUGCCAGCAGCAGCCGCAGUAA